GCUCCAACAUUAUAUCUAUCCCUCCUGGCUCUAACGGGCAGCAGGAAGCACAGCACUGCCAGUCACCACGCAGACGCUGUGAGAGGCCGAGGUGAGCUGGAGUUCCACGCCUCACGCGGCAGCUGUGCUGCAAUGCGCGAGUGCCGCGCCACGUAGCCGAGGGGGAGGAAUUCUGCGCGAUCCAGUGUUCCAGCGGCCAGCAUUCAGCCAGCCUUCCGGACCACACGAAGGAUCUUAGUAUGCAGUGCUGCCAUGCCUGGUUUUAUGUGCUGCUGCUGCUGGCACCCGGGGCACUGUGAUGCCAGGCCCUACCCAGAUCCCAGACGCUACCUAUGAAACUGUCUCUCCAGCCCUCAAGUACUUCAACCUUGAAGAAGAAUGAGAUAGAUUGGAUAUUACUGGGUUUUGUUUGUUUUGUUGUUGUUGUUGUUGAUUAAAGAGGCAUGUGCCACCACUGCCUAGCAAUUACUGCCCCCUCCCCCAACAUGGUUUCUCUGUGUAGAGUUUUGGCUGUCCUGGAACUCACUCUGUAGACCAGGCUAGCCUCAAACUCACAGAGAUUCACCUGCGUCUGCCUCCCUAGUGCUGGGCGUGGAGGCGUGUGCCAGCAUUGUGAAGCUUGGUUUUUAGGUGGGCACAUUUUAAUUGAUUGACAUGCCUAUCUAAAGAGGCAAGAGCAGAGCAGCCAGGCUUUUACCCUGCUUGUAGUUAUCCUGUGGGGCCAAAUGAGCAUCCAACUGGUUUUUGAUUUUUAUUGAUUUUUAGCAAACAUAAUUUCCAAAUGUGUGUUUAAUCACCAUCUAUAAUGAAACAGAAAUCCGAAAGCACCUAGAAAUGUGUCUCCCAAAAUACGUGCAAGACUAUUAGAAAGCUACAAAAAGAUCUUAUGUACAUAUCUGAAAAUACCUGAUAUCCUAAAGACACACUUCUUUCCCCAAAACUGAUCAAUAUAUGCAAUACAAUUCCAAACAAAAUUUCAAUCGGGUCUUAAAAAAAAUACAGCUCCUCUGCAGGCAGGGCUGGAUGGCUCAGUGCCUCAGAAGUCCCUGCUCUCUGACACGGUGUCUGGGGAUGUUUGCCUCAGAGCACACCAGCAUGCACUGUGUCAAAGAUGAGUGCUUUCUAAGGCUGACCACACACACGCACCCCAGGUCUGCCCACCUCAUAGUCUUUCCGGGCUAAUGAGCUGGGGUGACCUGCUUUGUGUGGGAAGCUAACAGGCCAGGAGCCCAGAUAGACAAGGAAGCUGCAGCCGAGAGCAUUGUAGAAACACCUCCAUUGUGGCUGAAAGCAUGUGGGCUGCGCAGCACUCCUUACCCGAAGAACUUCCAAACUAUUCUUGCCAAUCAUGCCAGCAAAGAGUGCAAAGGACAUUUCUAUAAGGACAGGUACUGAGCCAGGCAUAGUGUAAUCCCAGCACUCGAGAGGCAGAGGCAGGUGGAUCUCUGUGAGUUUGAGGCCAGCCUGGGCUACAAAGGGAGUCCAGGACAGCCAAGGCUCCACAGAGAAACCCCAUCUCAAAAAAAAAAAAAAAAAAGAACUGGUACUGACCCAAGAAAGUUUUCACCAGAUACAAGAAAUGGCAGCAAAAAGCAGCAUGAACAGCACAAAGGCUUCGAGGUCACCCAUGUUAUCACUCACACUGAUGAGUGCCUGCUUCUCGUCCACCAGGAGUAAGGUGAAGAGGGCACUGUGGCCGAGAAAACCUAGACAUGACCUGGAGGGGUGGGAUCACAGAGUCCCCAUAAAUGAGGUGUUUACACAGGCUGGGACGAUUGAUGGCAUCAGGGUGAGCAAGAGCAAAGGCUACAAAGAGGUCCUCAGUUACUGACACACCAAGGGCUGAGCAAAGUUGCCUGUGUCGGAGGCUGUCACUCUGCCCUUGGGGCCUCCUCUAGCAUGAGCUGAGCAGAAAGGCUACCUCCACGGAGCUGCAAUCCACAAGAAGGCCUGCAUAGAUUGGUCAGGCUACAGUCCCCUCUUAUCCGAUAAGAGCGUCAACCCACCAGGUAGCUCUGUCUCUUACAGGUAAAGUGACCUACGUCUUUGUCAUGCUGAAAGCUGUAUGUUGGGGCCGGUAUGUAUGUACCUGUGUACCCUACGCAAGCCCUUAAUGGUGCAAACCAGAUAAACUGCAGGCUCUGUAGAAGAUGUAUCCCAAGUUCAUGGACACCAGAUUUGGCUGUGGCCAAUUCCAUGAUAUAAAGAGGAAAUCAUUCAUGGAAUACUUAAAAAAGACAAGACUGACUGGGCUGAACAUAUAGCUCAGUGGGUAAACAUUUGGGGACUGGGUUUGAACCCCUAGAACCCAUAGUCAGCUGAGUAAACUCUGUAGCUAGUGUCUAUAAUGCCAGUGUUCCUACAGUGAAACAGACACGGGAGAAACCCUGCAGGCUCAGGGCCAGAUAGCCUGUCAUGCCCAGUGAGGAACAGCAAAGAGGCCCUGGAUCAAACAGGUGGAAGGCAAGAAUCAAUACCCGGAUGUGCUCUGACCUCUAUGCACUGUCACAAACCCGUGCACACAUUCAGAGACAUAAAUGUUCAUACACACACAGAAGAUUUUUUUUUUAAAGGAAAAGAAAGAAGAUUGCCAAGGAAGCAGGUACUUAAUGGCACCAUGUUUCACAGCUGACAAGAACGCGGUGUUUUUAUUCCUCCUGGCAAGGGAAAAAAAGAACACCCAACUUUACUCAAACAUCCUUCACAUCACAUGAUUCAUCCCUGAAACUACGCAACAGAGGUUCUUUAACGUGGUUUUCAACCUGGAAAGAUUCUAAAAUGUCUGUGCAAUGUAGACAGUUUAAAAUAGGUUGGCUCCUACUGAGGCUAAAACCAUGUGUUACAGAAGUGUUCCCAGGCAAACUGGCAGCAGCAGUGGAGAAUGGAAAAUGCUCUAAAGGGCCGUGGGCACAUUCUGGAGGCCUGUGCCAUAUCGUACUAAGUAAAGCCAGCAGGGAAAGAGAAUCACCUGAAAGCAGCUUCUAUAUAGAGCUGCAGCAAUUAAGGUAGAGGUAUCUCUUAUUUUUUGAGACAAGAUUUCUCUUUUUUUUUUUCAAAGGUUUAUUUAUUUAUUUUAUGUAUAUGAACACUGUUUUCAUGCACAGCAGAAGAGGGAAUCAGAUUCUAUUACAGAUGGUUAAAAGCCACCAUGUGGUUGCUGGGAAUUGAACUCAGGACCUCUGGAAGAGCAGCCAGUGCUCUUAACCACUAAGCUAUCUCUAGCCCAAGACAGGGUUUCUCUGUGUAGCUUUGGCUAUCCUGCACUUACUCUGUAGACCAGGCUGGCCUCGAACUCACAGAGAUCCCCUACCUCUGCCUCCUGAGUGCUGGGAUUACAAGCAUGCACCACCAUGCCCAGCUGGCAGAGACAUUCCAACAGCUGGUCAGUUGUGGCGCUGGAGAGAUAAUUCAGAACGUGAUGCUCUUGCAGAGAAUCCAAGUUCAAUUCCCAGAACCCACAUGGCAUCUCACAGCUGUUGUUCUAGUUCCAGGAGAUCUAGUCCCCUCUUCUGCCUUCCACUGCCACUGCACAUACAUGCACACAAUUCGUGCAGGCAAAACACUCAGACAUAUAGCACACAAAAUUUUAAAAACAGGGCUGGAGAGACGGCUCAGAGGUUAAGAGCACUGGCUGCUCUUCCAGAGGUCCUGAGUUCAAUUCCCAGCAACCACAUGGUGGCUCACAACCAUCUAUAAUGCGAUCUGGUGCCCUCCUCUGGCCUGCAGGUGAAUAGCACUAUUAGGAGGUGUGGCCUUGUUAGAGGAAGUGUGAUCUUCAAAUGUGAGAUUUCAAAUGCAUAACCAAGGCCUAGUCUGUCUGUCUGUCUGUCUGUCUGUUUCUCUCUCCCCCGCCACUACUUGUGGAUCCAGAUAGAGGACCCUCAACUACCGCUCCAGCACCAGGUCUGCCUGCAUGCUUCCCAUCAUGAUGACCGUGGACUAACAUUCUGAACUGUAAGCCAGCUCCCAUUAAGACAAGGCUGAAGGUUCUAUACCUAGCACCGCGCACUGCAUAAUUCCAAGCUUCGGGCUACACCUGUGAUGACAGCGCAAGGCGGUGGAGGCAGGAGUUUCAAGAAACUCAAGGUCAUUCUCAGUUACAUAGUGCCGGGGAAUUGAACUCAGGCAUCAGGCUUGGAGUCAAAUACCUUUAAGCUACUGAGCCACUGUGGCCCUCAGCAACACUGAACAAAGACAUUACAGAUGGCUUGAAUCUUCACAACCAAAAUUUGAGCACAGUACACAGAAAGGGAAGAAAAAGAAAUUGUUUAUUUGUUACUAGGUACUUUUUUGUAUGAAGAAAGUUUCCUUUGUUAAUUCAUUCAGCAUUUGUUGAGGAAAAACAGGCUGUGAAAGAAGAGGUCCCUCCAGAAAUUAGCUGCUACAGAUCAAGGGUGAAGGCCCAGCCUGGACCACCCCGCCACAGGAAGGGCUCCAGAGACAGAAAGUGCCCCAAGGUCCUGGAAGACUUUACAUUUGUUUUAAAACACUUAAACUCUCUGGUAAAAGAUGUACAUAAUGGCUAAUUAUUAUAUGAUUCAUUUUUGUUCAUAACUCUGUGUACUGUUAAUUCUUAUCUUAAACUAUUUUCAUUCCUCCUAAUUCCUUGUUCAAAUAUUUUUUUUCAUGCCCAUUAGCCUUCUGUUUCAAUAUCUACUUUGUCUCAUUUUCCCAAGAU